UUAAGAAGUAUGAAAAUUUUGAGUUGAUUAUAAUGAUUUGAUCAUUAAUUGUUGAGAUUCCAUUCUGCUAUGAGAUUUAUUAAGAGUUUUAUUUAAAUCUAGGAUUCAAUUAGGGUUUGAUUUAGGAUUUUUUUAAAAUUUGGUUAGGGCUUAGGAUUUGGUCUAAGAUUUUAUUAGGAUUAGAAUUUCCUUAGGAUUUGGUUUAAAAUUUGACUAGGAUUUAAUUAAAGUUUGUCUAGGAUUUAUUUAGGAUUUAGGACUUCAUUAGGGUUUCAUUAGGAUAAGACCUAGGAUUUGGUUAAG
rnacentral:lncRNA from 1 species